GGAAAGCAUGUAAUUGGCUUAUCUACACAAUAUACACCUUCUAAACCCUCUGAUGUGAGCUGGGAAGAUCCUAAUUACUGGGAGGGAAUAUUUUUCAUGGUGCCAUGAGUUUGGAUGCACUUUUCUUGACACGACCCGUCAAACAAUGGUCAGGUUACCGAACUCCAAUGAAAGGACUAUAUAUGUGUGGCAGCGGAUCACAUCCAGGAGGCGGAGUGACGGACGCACCUUGCCAUAAUGCUGCACAAGUUGUGCUUUGUGAUAUUAAAGAGAGCUUCUUUCUAGCAACUCUUUGAGUUCUGCUCUGCUGAUUUAUGUUGCUGUCAUAUUCCAUGUUGCACGAAAACUCUAUUUAAGUUGCACCUUAUUUAACUUCUUAAGGAUAGGAAUUUACUAUUUUUUUUUUUUUUACUAUUCGACACCCGAAAUCAACUGGUCCGAUUAAUGCAGAUUCUCAUUCGAUGGGGUCUAUGAAAAGACGUAAAACGUU